AUUAUUAUUAUUAUUAAUGAUUUUCUUUCUUUGAUCUCAGUUGGCACAUGAUAGAAUCAGUUUGAUUUUAUGAAUAAAUAGGUAGCAUAUCUAAUCUUAUAGCAUAAAGUAAUUUAUUUAUGUUCAUCAUAGUCCAAACAGAAAUCAGCUUCACUUUUUGAUUUUGAUAUAAUCAGCUUUCACUUUCCGAUGAAGAUUAUAUUUUGAUGAUUAAAGAAAUUGCUUGAGUUGUGCUGCUGCCCUUACUGGUAGUGAUUUAUUUUGCAGGUAAUUUAGGGUGGCAGUACAUGGUCAGUACACUUUGACUGAUAUAUAUAUAUAUAUAUAUAUAUAAGAAAAUUGUAGACAUAUAUGGCGUUUCAGAACAGUAGAGAUUUGCAUUUUGUUUGAGUUUGGAUUGUGAAGUAGAGAUGAUUGAGUGAGCUCAUAAUAAUCCAAAUUCCACAUGCUCUUCGCUUUGCUUUGUUCGUAUCCAUGAAAGCUAAGUUCUCUCUUUCAAGGUUGGUUUUGGCACGUGGGUUUUAACGUUCGAGUUCUUCCAUGAAGGCAGGCAUUGUAAUUUAUGAUUUGAGGUAAACACUGCACAGCAUGAAGUUAGUCAUAGGUUCUGCACGAUCAAUGACUGAAAAAUAUGCCAAGGCUGGAGCUGGAGAAAGCAGUUGUAGCUAUCAAUGCACUGAAACUAAAGUUGAUUCAACGAUGGUAUUAGCAGUUGAUUUAUUUGAUUUUUAUGUUGUUUGUUUUGGAUUCGUUAUUCUUCAUACUAAAUUGUUUGAUGAAUUUAUGGUUUUGUUCUAUGAAAAUCCUUUUGUUUUCACAUGUUGCCCUGCUAAACUAGUAGCACUC